rnacentral:rRNA from 1 species
GAUUAGAUACCGUCGUAGUCCUUUCCUUAAACUCCUCAAACUUGGGAUCGGUCAGCAUCGAGAAAUCAAAGUCUUUGUGUUCCGGGGGGAGUACAUUCGCAAGGCUGAAACUUAAAGGAAUUGACGGAGAACCACCACCAGUCGUGGAUUGUGUGGCUUAAUUCGACUCAACACGGGAAAUUUUACCAGGGCAGGACAUGGUCAGGAUUGCCAAGCUAAAGCCUUUGCUUGAUUCCAUGAACGGUGGUGCAUGGCCGCUUCUGGUUGGNGAAUGUGAUUUGUCUGCUUAAUUGCGAUAACGAACGAGAUCUCUGCCAAUUACUAGUUACUUAUUGGGAUUAUGCGUCUCCCAUUGAAACGAGAGCCCAAAGCAGGUCUGUGAUGCUCCCAAAUGCCCUGGACCGCACGCGCAAGACACUGACUCAGCCAACGAGCUCCUGGCCCGAAGGGGUUGGGGAAUCUUUGAGCCUGAGUCGUGAUGGGGAUUGAAGCUUGAAAUUAUUCUCCAUGAACGAGGAAUGUCUUGUAGCCGCGUUUCAUUAGAACGCAGCGAAUACGUCCCUGGUUCUUGUACACACCGCCCGUCGUUGCCUGUAAUGGGUUGUGAGUAGAGCUCUUUGGAANNAANNNGGGCAAUACUCGCAAUCUAGAAGAGGCAAAAGUCGUAACAAGGUUGCUGUNGNUGAACCUGCAGAAGGAUCA